rnacentral:ribozyme from 1 species
CCGGAGAAAGGCGACGGGCGCACCGAUCUUCCGUUGGGGGGGCUCGCCGCACCGCCCAUGGCCG